UACACUCCUGCGGGAGGCAGCAGUGGGGAAUUUUGGACAAUGGGCGAAAGCCUGAUCCAGCCAUGCCGCGUGCAGGAUGAAGGCCUUCGGGUUGUAAACUGCUUUUGUACGGAACGAAACGGCCUUUUCUAAUAAAGAGGGCUAAUGACGGUACCGUAAGAAUAAGCACCGGCUAACUACGUGCCAGCAGCCGCGGUAAUACGUAGGGUGCAAGCGUUAAUCGGAAUUACUGGGCGUAAAGCGUGCGCAGGCGGUUAUGUAAGACAGUUGUGAAAUCCCCGGGCUCAACCUGGGAACUGCAUCUGUGACUGCAUAGCUAGAGUACGGUAGAGGGGGAUGGAAUUCCGCGUGUAGCAGUGAAAUGCGUAGAUAUGCGGAGGAACACCGAUGGCGAAGGCAAUCCCCUGGACCUGUACUGACGCUCAUGCACGAAAGCGUGGGGAGCAAACAGGAUUAGAUACCCCAGUAGUCCCAUGA
rnacentral:rRNA from 1 species